UUCACACCUCGGAGGCUGAGUUUCUUU
rnacentral:sRNA from 1 species